rnacentral:rRNA from 1 species
AAUGAACGCUGGCGGCAUGCUUUACACAUGCAAGUCGAACGGUAACAGGUUAAGCUGACGAGUGGCGAACGGGUGAGUAAUGCAUCGGAACGUGCCCAGUCGUGGGGGAUAACGCAGCGAAAGCUGCGCUAAUACCGCAUACGAUCUAAGGAUGAAAGCGGGGGACCGUAAGGCCUCGCGCGAUCGGAGCGGCCGAUGUCAGAUUAGGUAGUUGGUGGGGUAAAGGCUCACCAAGCCAACGAUCUGUAGCUGGUCUGAGAGGACGACCAGCCACACUGGGACAGAGACACGGCCCAGACUCCUGCGGGAGGCAGCAGUGGGGAAUUUUGGACAAUGGGCGAAAGCCUGAUCCAGCAAUGCCGCGUGCAGGAAGAAGGCCUUCGGGUUGUAAACUGCUUUUGUACGGAGCGAAAAGGUCUCCUCUAAUACAGGGUGCUCAUGACGGUACCGUAAGAAUAAGCACCGGCUAACUACGUGCCAGCCGCCGCCGUAA